UGUGGAAAGUGUAAAGCAUUUCAAAAUAGAUUUUUUUUUUUUUUUUUUUGCACCCAUGCUGUUGAUUGCUAAAUGUAGUAGUCUGAUCACGACACUGAAUAAAUGUGUCUUUUUUAAAAAUGUGCUGUGUAACGUUAGUCUACUCUGAAGCCAUUUUGGUAAACUACCCCAACAGUGUGAAG